AUUAGUAUUUAGCAGGCAAAGCGAUAAGCAUGUGUAUGAAGAGCCAAGUAUUGAGUAACCAGUAAUUCUCCGUAACCCUAAGAGGUUUGGUGACAAACCUACUUUUCCGAACUAACUUCUUCACAGUCGCAAGUGCCAUAUAGCUAUUCCUUUCUGACACUUUCUUUCACUAUAUAUAACUAAGCAUAUUGUCUACACAAAAGCGACACUUAUUAUUUUCUUUGUUUGCAUUGCUUUACUUUCAUCUUAUUUUUUGUUUUGUUUGUACGGAGGGAUAUUGUUUGAUUUGAUGGGUGACGUGGAGAUAGAGGAGGUGAGCGGCGGUGUUAAUGGAGGUGCAGAAGUGCAGCAGGGUGAGGAAGGGUUGGGGAGAGGGAGAGGGGAAGGAAAUAGGAUGUACUUGGUGUGGGAAGAACUGACGGUGGCGCUGCCCAACUUUGGGAAUGGACCGACCAGGAGAUUGCUGGAUGGAGUAACCGGGUGCGCUCAACCUGGUAGAAUCAUGGCCAUCAUGGGUCCUUCUAGCUCUGGCAAAUCCACUUUACUCAAUGCCUUAGCAAGUUUUCGCCUCUAUCCAUCCCCCAACUUAACCACCACAAUCCUCAAUAUUAUGGCUGCAUUUAUGAGUAGGGAAUACAAAUAUAAUAGACAAGCUUUUAACCAAAAAGCACAAUCAAUGACUGAAAAAUAUGCCAAGGCUGGAGCUGGAGAAAGCAGUUGUAGCUAUCAAUGCACUGAAACUAAAGUUGAUUCAACGAUGUGUGCUGAAGAAUCGAGACAAUAUGGAAUUUCUGGGGUGUUGUCUUAUGGGCUACUGAAUACAAUUUACUACCUCAUUACCUUUCUCUUGGUGUGAUCAAGAAGUGAAUCGAAGUGGAGUUGAUCUAGAAAAGGCUAAAAUUGCAGAUUAGCCCCUAAAGUAUCCGUUUUACAUAUUUUGAAUAGAUUUGCACAAAGGACAAAAAAUGGCUCGACAAACACUACUAGAAGCGCAAAACCAAGAAGCAAUUUGAAGUAUCGAGAUCGCGAACUGAAGAAAACAGAAUUAGAUCGGGGAAAGUCGAAAGUAAUCGAAUAGUCGAUCGUGUCUGCGGAUAUCCGAGGCUUGAUGCUGGUGAAGUAAUUCAGACUUUACGUCUAGCAGGCUUCAUGCCGGUGAUACAUUUCGGACUUUAAGCCUAGCAGGCUAAAUACCGGUGUACUGAAUCAGGCUUUAAGCCUAGCAGGCUAAAUGCCGGUGAAUCUGUUUUUAAGCAUGUGAUUAAGUGUACAACUAUAUGAUUUUGGAUAUAUUUAAUUGAUAAGUAUAUUUAUAUAUAAAUUCGACUAAGUGUGUUGGAUGAUUAUAUAUAUAUUCGGCUUAUGCAUUGGCAAUAUAUAUAUAUAUAUAUAAGCUUGGGAGAAUGCAUUUGUUCAUAUGUAUUAGAUUUGUAUUGGUUUAAAGUUUAUCAUUAGUAUACAUACACAUUCGGUUAUGAUAGGUGUAUAAUAUAUAUAUAUAUGCUUGAUUAUAUACAUUCGGUUGAAAUGUUGUUUGGUAUAAACAUAUAUUCAAUUGAUUGCAUUCGAUGUAUACAUAUCUGACUAUAAGUAAAAUGGUCUGAGUGCAAUAAUGUAUGAAUGUUAGUUAGUCGUAUUGGUUGAAAUCUCAGUGAAAUAGAUUAAAAGGUUAUUUUAUUUAUAUAUUUAUAUACAUCUAUUUAUGUUGUAGACUUACUAAGCUAUAAAAGCUUACUUUGUUUGUUUUUGUCCAUUUGCUUUUAUAGAUUUUGGAGACGCGUUACGAGCUCGGGGAUCAUCAGCAUAGUCCAUCACACUAUCGACUUCUUUUGGUAUUUUGUUAAAUAUUUGAACUCAAUCUUAUGGCAUGUAUAGGUUUGAGUACGAUGUUAAUUACAUUUUGAUUGUAAAUUAUAAUAGCUAUGCGAAAGUAAUUAAAUUUCCAUGUU